rnacentral:rRNA from 1 species
GGCUUAUACAUGCAGUCGAGGGGCAGCAUGGGGUAGCAAUACUCUGAUGGCGACCGGCAAACGGGUGCGGAACACGUACGCAACCUUCCCGAAACUGGGGAAUAGCCCUCCGAAAGGAGGAUUAAUACCCCGUAACAUAGUGAAGAGGCAUCUCUUUAUUAUUAUAGCUCCGGCGGUUUUGGAUGGGCGUGCGCCUGAUUAGGUAGUUGGCGGGGUAACGGCCCACCAAGCCUGCGAUCAGUAACUGGUGUGAGAGCACGACCAGUCACACGGGCACUGAGACACGGGCCCGACUCCUACGGGAGGCAGCAGUAAGGAAUAUUGGUCAAUGGACGCAAGUCUGAACCAGCCAUGCCGCGUGAAGGAUGAAGGUCCUCUGGAUUGUAAACUUCUUUUAUCUGGGACGAAAAAAGGGAAUUCUUUCCCACUUGACGGUACCAGAGGAAUAAGCACCGGCUAACUCCGUGCCAGCAGCCGCGGUAAUACGGAGGGUGCGAGCGUUAUCCGGAUUUACUGGGUUUAAAGGGUGCGUAGGUGGGCAGGUAAGUCAGUGGUGAAAUCUCCGAGCUUAACUCGGAAACUGCCAUUGAUACUAUCUGUCUUGAAUAUCCUGGAGGUGAGCGGAAUAUGUCAUGUAGCGGUGAAAUGCUUAGAUAUGACAUAGAACACCAAUUGCGAAGGCAGCUCACUACGGGAUGAUUGACGCUGAGGCACGAAAGCGUGGGGAUCAACAGGAUUAG